rnacentral:lncRNA from 1 species
CAGAAAAAAUCACAACACCAAGCCAAAUCAAUCACUACUUUCAAAAGAUCCAAUACAAGGAUGAUUAUAAGUAGAAUCCUUCAAAAAAUUAGUAGAGGGCAAAAAUCUAUCACACAAAAUAGAUCUUCUAUAUGAGAGAUACAAGAGAGAUUAACUAACAAAAUAAACUCUACCAAAAUCAGAGAUCUUGGAGCCCAAAAAUAAUCCACCGAUACUUCUCUGUUUUUGGCCCAUCUUCUGUUUUUGGCCAAUAUUCUAUUUUGGCCUCUAUUCCUCAUAAAGCUGUUGUCAGUCCUCUCAAUUUCUUCAGGCAAUCAAUACACCAUUGAAAAGGGCAACAAGU